CUGCGCGGGGUAUUUGUCGCCGCCGCCAGGCCAGUUGAGCGCUUCUCUGACUCGGGAAAGCAAGGCGGAGGGGCCAGCUGACGGCGGGGCAGCCAUGGAGGCAGCGGUGCGGAGGCGGCAGCAGCCGGGAGCAGCGGGCGGCCAGGGCGCGCAGCCGGGCGCCUCCUUCCUGCAGGCCAGGCAUAGCUCUGUCAAGGCUGAUGAGGCCGCGGGCACAGCUCCCUUCCACCUUGACCUCUGGUUCUACUUCACCCUGCAGAACUGGGUUCUGGACUUUGGCCGCCCGAUUGCCAUGCUGGUGUUCCCUCUCGAAUGGUUUCCGCUCAACAAGCCCAGCGUGGGGGACUACUUCCACAUGGCCUACAACAUCACCACACCCUUUCUCCUGCUCAAGCUCAUCGAGCGGUCGCCCCGCACCCUGCCGCGCUCCGUGAUCUACGUCAGCAUCAUCACCUUUAUCAUGGGCGCCAGCAUCCACCUGGUGGGCGACUCAGUGAACCACCGCCUGCUCUUCAGUGGCUACCAGCACCACCUGUCUGUCCGCGAGAACCCCAUCAUCAAGAAUCUCAAACCAGAGACGCUGAUCGACUCCUUCGAGUUGCUCUACUACUACGACGAGUACCUGGGCCACUCCAUGUGGUACUUCCCCUUCUUCCUCAUCCUCUUCAUGUACUUCAGCGGCUGUUUCACCCCCACCCAAGCCAAGAGCUCGAUGCCAGGGGCAGCCCUGCUCCUGGUGGUGCCCAGUGGCCUGUACUACUGGUACCUGGUCACGGAGGGCCAGAUCUUCAUCCUCUUCAUCUUCACCUUCUUCGCCAUGCUGGCCCUCGUCCUGCACCAGAAGCGCAAGCGCCUCUUCCUGGACAGUAAUGGCCUCUUCCUCUUCUACUCCUUUGCCCUCACCCUCCUGCUCGUGGCCCUCUGGGUCGCCUGGCUAUGGAAUGACCCUGUGCUCAGGAAGAAGUACCCCGGCGUCAUCUACGUCCCUGAGCCCUGGGCAUUCUACACCCUCCACAUCAGCAGCCCACACUGAGUCCCUGGCUCUGUUGGGUGGCAGAUGGGCUGAGCAGAGGGGUGUGUGUGUGUGUGUGUGUGUGCACGUGUGUACAUGUGUGCAUGCGUGCAUCACCAGGAGACUUUUUCUGGUCAAGUUUGUUUGGUUUGGAUCUUUUCAGGCUGGGGUUUAGUUUUAGGCAGUGUGUCCAGGUCAAGUUAUGGGCA